UGCCAGCCGCCGCGGUAAUACGAAGGUGGCGAGCGUUGUUCGGAUUUACUGGGCGUAAAGAGCACGUAGGCGGUUAGGUAAGCCUUUUGGGAAAGCUCCCGGCUCAACCGGGAAAGUUCGAGGGGAACUACUUAGCUAGAGGACGAGAGGGGGAAGCGGAAUUCCAGGUGUAGGGGUGAAAUCCGUAGAUAUCUGGAGGAACAUCGGUGGCGAAGGCGGCUUCCUGGCUCGUAACUGACGCUGGGACGCGAAAGCGUGGGUAGCAAACAGGAUUAGAUA
rnacentral:rRNA from 1 species